AUUGAACGCUGGCGGCAUGCUUUACACAUGCAAGUCGAACGGUAACAGGCCGCAAGGUGCUGACGAGUGGCGAACGGGUGAGUAAUGCAUCGGAACGUGCCCAGUCGUCGGGGAUAACGCAGCGAAAGCUGUGCUAAUACCGCAUACGUUGUAUGGAUGAAAGCGGGGGACCGUAAGGCUCCGCGCGAUUGGAGCGGCCGAUGUCGGAUUAGGUAGUUGGUGGGGUAAAGGCUCACCAAGCAAACGAUCUGUAGCUGGUCUGAGAGGACGACCAGCCACACUGGGACUGAGACACGGCCCAGACUCCUACGGGAGGCAGCAGUGGGGAAUUUUGGACAAUGGGCGCAAGCCUGAUCCAGCAAUGCCGCGUGCAGGAAGAAGGCCUUCGGGUUGUAAACUGCUUUUGUACGGAACGAAACGGCGAGCUCUAAUACAGUUUGCUAAUGACGGUACCGUAAGAAUAAGCACCGGCUAACUACGUGCCAGCCGCCGCCGUAA
rnacentral:rRNA from 1 species